rnacentral:lncRNA from 1 species
UCUCGAGUUUGGUUGAUUCCACACCAUCUAUAAUUUUAGUGGGUGUGUGAGGACCGUUCACUAUGAUACUCCACAUAUCAUAGUCGAGUGCUUGAAUGAAUAUUUUCAUCCGAGCUUUUCAAUAGGUGUAAUUAGACCCAUUGAAAAGUGAAAGUCGGUUGGUAGAUUGCCCCUCGGCUAGAGAAGUACCGACUUGAGUUGCCAUAGAUCUUUGGCUCUUUGAUUGUUUAGAUCAAAGUAGGGCUAGAGCACCGGGCUCUGAUACCACUUGUUGCCCAGCUAUGCAACCCAAGAGGGGGG